rnacentral:rRNA from 1 species
GCUUAACACAUGCAAGUCGAGCGGUAAGGCCCUUCGGGGUACACGAGCGGCGAACGGGUGAGUAACACGUGGGUGAUCUGCCUUGCACUCUGGGAUAAGCCUGGGAAACUGGGUCUAAUACCGGAUAUGACCCCUGGUUGCAUGAUCAGGGGUGGAAAGAUUUAUCGGUGCAAGAUGAGCCCGCGGCCUAUCAGCUUGUUGGUGGGGUAAUGGCCUACCAAGGCGACGACGGGUAGCCGGCCUGAGAGGGCGACCGGCCACACUGGGACUGAGACACGGCCCAGACUCCUACGGGAGGCAGCAGUGGGGAAUAUUGCACAAUGGGCGGAAGCCUGAUGCAGCGACGCCGCGUGAGGGAUGACGGCCUUCGGGUUGUAAACCUCUUUCGACUCCGACGAAGCGAGAGUGACGGUAGGAGUAUAAGAAGCACCGGCCAACUACGUGCCAGCAGCCGCGGUAAUACGUAGGGUGCGAGCGUUGUCCGGAAUUACUGGGCGUAAAGAGCUUGUAGGCGGCUUGUCGCGUCGAUCGUGAAAACUCGGGGCUCAACCCCGAGCUUGCGGUCGAUACGGGCAGGCUUGAGUACUUCAGGGGAGACUGGAAUUC